rnacentral:rRNA from 1 species
ACUGAGCGGCGGACGGGUGAGUAACGCGUGGGUAACCUGCCUCAUACAGGGGGAUAACAGUUAGAAAUGACUGCUAAUACCGCAUAAGACCACAGUACCGCAUGGUACAGGGGUAAAAACUCCGGUGGUAUGAGAUGGACCCGCGUCUGAUUAGGUAGUUGGUGGGGUAACGGCCUACCAAGCCGACGAUCAGUAGCCGACCUGAGAGGGUGACCGGCCACAUUGGGACAGAGACACGGCCCAA